rnacentral:rRNA from 1 species
UACGUAGGGGGCAAGCGUUGUCCGGAUUUAUUGGGCGUAAAGAGCGUGUAGGCGGUUUGGUAGGUCCGCUGUGAAAACUCGAGCUCAACCUCGAGACGCCGGUGGAAACCAUCAGACUAGAGUCCGGAAGAGGGAGGAAGUCGGGAAUUCCUGGUGUAGCGGUGAAAUGCGCAGAUAUCAGGAAGAACACCCGUGGCUAAGGCGGCUCUCUAGUACGGUACUGACGCUGAGACGCGAAAAGCGUGGGGAGCAACAGGAUAGAA